CCAAUUACACAUAACAGAGAAUGUAUAAUAUAUGGAUCCGACUCUUUCAUAGUGAGCAUCUCACUUCAGAGUUUGAAGUUCACAAGACAAUUCAUAAGAUAAGCAAAUCAAUAGUUGAGAAUAGACACAUCAUAACAAAUCACGAGUUUGUUUAAAUUAACAACCCUUCAAAUUCAAAACAACCAGGGCUUAAAGGUGUUUAUUCCAUUAUUAUCUUCUAAGAACCAUCAAAGUCCAAAUCAUGUUUUUUUAAAACACAUCCCCUGUUAAUAUUAAUCAUGGAUGAACAAAUCAAUAGGUGAUAUUAGAGACACGUCAUAACAAAUC
rnacentral:lncRNA from 1 species